UAGCAUAGAGCUUGCUUAACUCUGUGAAGACAAUGCUUGCAUUGUGCCAGCAGGUCACAGGAGUUUUGAGAGGUGAUGCACAUGGCAUCUUCAGAGGAAGGAGCUGCUUAGAUCUCCGUCUCUGAACUAAGCUUGACGAAGGUGAGGAAGAAUCUUUCAAAGACCUGUACACUGGCCAGCUGGAGUGAGUGGCUAAAGAAAUGUCCUUGGUGGUAGAAGCUUCCUGCUUUCGUCAAGAAAAAGCUUAGAGUUACAGAUCUGCGAUAAGAACAGAAUAGUUCCAGAUAGCAUCAGCCCGAGACCAAAAUGAAACGCCGUUGUGCUAUUGUGUAUUGUAUGCAGCUCUGGUCUCCCAGCCUCAGAAAGGAUGCGGUAGCAGGGAAGAGCGGAGAAGAGAACUGCCAUCUCGAGAAGAAGUGCAGAACAGCACAAGGCUCUUCAGGACCUCCUCUAGCCUUGCUAAUACCUGCCCAGCCCAAUUCAAACUCCAGCCUCCAGAGUUUCUUGCCCUAGUAACAUCUGGGCAGCACAUACAAGAAUUAUCGAGGCUCCUGCAAGCACGCUGUGUUCUGCUUGUCUGCACUUCCACCCCCCAUAGCAGGCACAGGGACUGCACACACUCAGCAUCGGUUGGGAAGAAUAACCUUGGUUCAGAAAUGCAUCAAAAUUGGUUGUCUUAAGUGUUUGUAACUAAAGAAGAUUAUUUCUCUGAGCAGCUCUAUGCAGCAAGCUCACUGUUAAUGCCCAGGUGUUGUGCUGGAUGAAGAAUGGAAAAUGGAUUAGUGUGAUGAUAACUUGUCUUUUUUCUUCUCUGUUCUUGGAAGAGGAGUGUAAACUGACAUUAAAAACAGGAGAGCCAUUGUUGUUAAUGUCUACAUAUUAAUAAAAAUGCUGUUAAUGA
rnacentral:lncRNA from 1 species